GUGAAAAGACUGUUGCAUGUCGCUGUGCAGCCUCUUAUCGCCGAGGUCUGGCUUCCGCUGCUGCUGCGCGGCCCCUCCCCCGCCCGCCCAGCCCCACCAGGAAGCCCAGGGCGGACUCGUCGAGCUCCUGAAUGCACGCGGCGGCGAGGAAAACGCUCUGCAACUUUCCGUUGGCGCCCUCCCGCGCUUCCCCAGGCCCCAGAGUCUCCUCUCAACCCGGCAGAGUCCGCAAGGACGGGUCAUGGGCGCUCGCCCCGCGGCGCCAAGAGCAGGAGGAAGCUGGAGCCCGCGUGGGCGCCGUGGAUCCCCUCGGCUUCGGUUGGUAUCUUCCAUCUUUUGCGUUCGACAUUGUAACCUCGCGGCGGGCGUGCAGAGGGGACGCCCUCCCGCUACUUCUGCUCCUACCGACUAGCCGCGCACGUCGGUGGGUUCGUUUUGAAUGAGGCCCUUGCACCGGGCUUUGCAAGGAAGCCGGAAAGGUUAGACUGAAGGUUAGAAACCUGUUAGACUAGAAUCCUGGGAUCUGUUGGGACUGCCGCCUUAAAAUGCACCAGUUUCUGAACCUGGAAGGCGAACAGGCGGGAAAAACAUCUGCAAGACUGCCACUGUGUAUUUUUCUCAAGUAACAGGCUGUCCACAGUUUUGGAAUUCCUUAGUGAAACUGUCUCACAAGCACAAACACUCACAUCCAGCUUUCCUUCUAGUUUGUAAAUAAUAUUUGGACUUUACAAUAUAUUCUCAACUUUGCACUAUGUGAUUUAUAGAAAGCAAAGCUCCCUCUUUGAAAAUAAUAUAUUAUUUUUAAUAUUAUAAAUAUAUUAAUAUAACUAUUUUUAAUAUAUUAUAAAUAUAUUUAUAUUUUAUAUAAUAUAUACGUUUGUAUUUAUAACAUAUUAAGUACUGGGAUAUUUCACGGCAAGUAAGCCAUAUUGUCGCCAGAGCAAAUAAACCACAGCCCCAUAUUAUAAUUCACUGGGUGUUAUAAGGUGUAACUUGGCUUCACUUUGAAUGGAAAGAAUCCUGAACAUCUGUGGUGUGAUAAAGUUUUGGAGAUUGGGGGCAGGAUUUCCUUCGUAAGGAAUUCCAAUAACUUGUUCAAGGAUGAUUUUGGUGAAAAACGUUUGUCCCACAUUUGGGACAAAAAUGCUGGAUAUGGUACAACGUUCUUCCUGCAGGCUAGGUUGUGUUGAAGAGAGUGAGGCCAGCUCGGGGUGAAGGAAAAACAUCAGAAAGGUGCUAAAGUGCAGAAAUAUCUUCCAGAAGCACUAAUAGCUGACUUGAGUUCUUGCCCUUUAGCUAGAUCUACAAAGCACUGAGUUAAAAUUGUACACCGAUUACUUCCAGAACAAAUUAAUUAAUUAAAUGGUGCCCCUUCCCAGCGUUAAUCGUUUAAAAGAACUCAAGUACCCACACAGUGUAAGCAAAAAGGACACUGACACUUUCUCAGAGAACAGGGAUGGGAACUUUCUGUCUGCCCAUUAGUAACUACCCCAAGCUAUGAAGACUUCCGUUCCUCUUAUUAAACAUUCAGCAACUACAUUUAGUGCCUACCAUGCCAGUGAUGCAAGAAUGGGUAAGACAGUCUCUAUACUCAAGGAUAACACCUCUACUAGGUGAGAGACAAACCAAUUAAUUUUGCCUAAGGGAUAAGUACUGUGAUGUCGGAGGCAAUCCCGUGAGGGCUCUGAGGAUGGCGAACAAAGAGUUCCUGGAGGAUUUACAUUUAACUGGUGCUUUGAAAGGUGUGUACAAGUUAGCAAGAUCAAAAGAUCAAAAGGGAGUAGAGUCUGGGUGGAGAAGAGAAAAGACCAGGGCAGGCUGGGUGGCGUGGCUCACACCUGUAAUCCGAGCACUUUAGGAGACUGAGAAGGAGGGAGGAUCACUUGAGGUCAGGAGUUUAUGAGACCAGCCUGGGUAACAUUGAAAGGCCCUGUCUCAAAAGAAACGAAAAGAGCAGGGCAUAUACAAGGCAUAUACAGCCUUCUCAGCCUUUCUGUGAGAAGUGAGGGGAGGGUAGUAGAGGAGAGUGGCAGGAGAUGACGCUAAAAGUAGGUCUGUGUUAAUCUGAGUUUCAACUUUACUGUCAAAGCUAAUGAACUGGAAAAGUUUAGGCAGCAAGGGCCAGAGAUGGAGUCUGGACUUGUACUGCAGAAAGUUCCUGUGGUGGCAGCUUGGAGGGUGAAUGAGAGUGUGGGCUGGAGGGGUUGAAUGGGUGUGGACAGACUGGAAAAAUGACUCAUUCAGGGAAUGAGGAAGGGAGGAGCCUUGGGAGACUCCCAAAUCCCUGGCUUAGCCUACUGAAUUGCUUGCUACUUGCCUUCUAAUUUCUUCAUUUUGCCUGCCAUUCUCUGUGAUAUUAAAGGCCUAACUUCUUAGCAGAGCAACCUUUGCACCUGCUAGCAGGUUGGUGCCUAUAGCUGGCUUCCAUGCCCCUCUGCUCAGAAUGCCUGCAAACCACUAAGGACUAAUCCUGGUGGUAGAAAUUUGUUCUCAACAUAAACCCGUGUAGAAUUCCAAGUUAGAAAUGUGUUCUUUUUUCAUGUGGGUUAGAAAAUUUGCUGUUUGGGGCAACAUGGUGAAACACAGGACUUUUGAACCUGUUUAUGGUGCAAGAGCGAAAACUAUGUUUCUACUUCAACACUGGAGGAGCGGGGAGCUUCUGGGAGCAAAAGAGAAAUUGAAACUGAGACAUGUUUUUUGCUCCAUGACAGAAUACAAAGAAAUACAAGGAUGAUCCUUUAAUGUUAGAAACAGUAGAAUAACCAUCCUGGUAAAUGACAAAGAAGAGGAAAAAUGUUAGUUUACAUUAGAUAGAGAGAAAAAGGAUGGCUAAGAAAACUCAUAAAACAAUGGUCAAUCUAUAAUUCAAAAUGAGUCCAAAUAAAUUGUGAUAUAAAACUACAUUACCACUGAUUUGGCCUAAUUUACCAUUGAUAACAUUAGAACAUGAAUGAUGGCAUUUAAAAUUUUAAAGCACUGUAACAAACACCAGAUCAUAUGUUGAAACUAUUAAAAUCAUGUUGUCAGCUUUCAACUGCCAGCAGCAUCCUACCCACAUUUCAAACUAUGGAAAUUACUAAAAAAUCAUUAUAGUAAUAAAAAGUUAAUAGUUCCUCAUUUAGAAUACCAUUGCUAUUCCCUCAGUGCCAGGAGAACAUUAUGGUUUCUCCUGCUUCUGUGAAGUGUCAUUAUAGUCCACAGGUUCAUAGUGAGUAUAUCCAUGAAUAUAAAAAGAAGGUCAUUCGUGGGUGGAGAGGGAAAUUAUAGAAAGCAAUUUCAGGUAAAAUAAAACUAAAUUUCAAAUAAAGAAAAGAGUGUUCACUUCAGUUCCUGAAAUACUUUAGUCCAUUUAAGUUUUAGUUAUACCAAUGAAUCUCAAUAGAAAUACAGUUAAGGGACAUAGAUAAUAUCAGCUCCCUGUUUACCAAUAAUAAAGAUAAAGAUAAUGGCA